rfam:Pteropus alecto contig71690, whole genome shotgun sequence.
UUGCCCAUCGGGGCCGCGGAUACCUGCUUUUAAUUUUU